CUUUUAGAUCCAUUUUGCAUUGACAUUUUCUUGCGUUAUUUACUACAAACACCAAAGAAGGCAAAGCCAAAUCAAGACACUACCAAACUAAUAAAGACAUGAGCUUUCUCAACAGAAACAAAUUUUCUAACAACUGGGUUUGUCUCUGAGUUUAACACACAAUGAACAAGACAAGAGAGGUUAUAUUAGAUGAUGAGCCUGCAUUACUCAGAAAAGAUUAAAAAAAAAUGCACAUGAGUUCAAAGUUAUAACCUUUGACAAGAAGUGGCUUGCUGCUACUGUGUGGAAACGAAUCGGUCCUGAAUUAGAUUUGCCAAGAGACGAAAAGCCUUCAUCUUUCACUCAGGAUAAGAUAUUACGAAAGAGGGUCAACUAGAUCGGAAGCAGAUACGUUUCCCAGAAACCAUUAAGGAAGAGAGAGAGAGAGAAAGAGAGAAAGCAGACGAGACGACGACUCCUGCGUGAGAGAGAGAGAGAGAAGAGUGGGUUGGUUGAUUUACUCUUUUCCAUUUUGAAAUUUCAAACUAAUAAAUAAAUAAUACUAAUAUUAAUUUUUUUCUUUCUUUCUUUAUAUGCCUUCCCCCAUAGCUUACUGAACCGGCCGGUUUGAUUUUGAAAUUAUAGUACCAUUGGAUUUGGAACCCCUGCACUCCCUAUAUAAACGACAUUAUUACUACUAGAUUUCCUGGCAGAUACGUAAUGGAGAUGCAGACAACCAGUUACUAUUACAGUCCCAAAGCAAUCAAAAGAUAUCCGAAUCACUAUUGCCAUUAAAUUUCAACCUGUUAAUAACACUCAAAACCAGAGGAGGAGGCAAUUGUGAAGGAGUGGAGGUUUUUUUGUCAACUAGUUGUAUUUCAUUUCAUUGAAAUGAAAAGGCCCAAAUGUUCUUUUUUUUUUACCUAAAUUAUAUUUUUAAUUGGUUUUACCUAAAAUUUUUUUAUUACAGUUUGUUUUUAUUUUAAAAAUGUAUCGACUCUACUAAAAAAUACUCCCUCCGUUUUUUAAUGUAAGUCGUUUUAGAGAAACAUUUUUAUUCCAAAUUAUAUGUCGUUUUCGGUUUUCUAUGUAAAAUUUAUUAAUAAUUAAUAAUAUCUGACCAAUGAUAAUAUAUCUUCUAUUUUUCUAUUGGUUGAAUUGUGGUUAUGUAAAUAAUUAAUGAUGUUUUUGUUUAGAAAAUACAAAGUUAAUCAUUUUCUUAAUCUAUAUGCAUAGCUGUAAAACGACUUAUAUUAAAAAAACGGAGGGAGUAAACAUUUAUCUCCACUAAAAUUGUUUCUGACUCCUGCUCACAACAAAGAAUACAUCAUGUUCCCUAUUUAUUUCAUGCAAAGUACUAUAAACUAAUAUCAUGAUUUCACCUCGUUUUCACCUACAAAAACCAAAGAGGAUUGAAAGAAAGAAAAAAAAAAGCUUUGGCAAAUCACUGUGCUUUUGUGCCUUUGUCUAGCAGCGUCCAAGUAAAAUCUUGUUCUUACAGUGUUUGAUGAGGUUUCCUAGAGCUUAACAGUAUCAACUACAUGAGUGACAGUGUUUUGAGUUGUUGGGUAAAGAAAACCCUGAAAGAGUGACUCUAAGAAGAGACAGAGAGUGCUCCAAAUGAAUUCAUUUUCAUUACUCAAACAUUCCCUCUUAUGAAUAUCUAAUACUACUACAUUAUUCAAAAAACCCAACAAUAAAUAGUUGCGUGAAUGGUUUCACAGUAGUAAGCACAAAUAACUUUAAAAAAAAACAUAAAACUUUAAGCCAAAGAAGAGAGACUCAUUCUUCCAAGAACAAGUAUAUAAUUCUGCUGAAAACAAAUGAGGAUAGAUCGACUACCACAAAA